CCGCCCACGGCCUGGGCGCCAUUUAAGCUGGGCCCUGAGGGGCUGUUGCCUCCUUAGGGCUGGGCUGUAGCUCAGUGGGUUUGUAGCCCUGUGUGCCCUGGAUCUGUCCCUAGGUGUCCCUGGGGCUGCCUGGUGAUGGCUGGGCAAGGUAGACUUUAGGGAAGAGCUGGAGAACUUCAGGACUUCAUGCUUUGAGAUACAAAACUAUGACUUGGAUACUAAACAAUGAAUGCUGAGGCACAAGACCGAAGAGAUCAAGCUAGAGUUUUAGGUGUAGUCCAAUGGCCAUUGCUAAACAACUUCUGGGAUUAUGGCCAAUGGAAUUCAUGGAGGAACUUGACAUGUUCGGUUGCUCACCGUGUUCUCUGCUGUGCUCGUGCUUCCUCCACAUAACACGGUAACUACUUUCAGGCAACCCAAGGCUGCUGAAGGGAAGCAGCAUCCAACAAUCUCUUCACGACUACGGUAACAGCAUGUAAAGUGCUGUUCCACCCUCCUUGUGCAGUUCCACAUGGUCACCUCAGUAGGAUAAUGGUUUGCCCAGAGCAUGAAUUCCCUCGUGUGGUGACUGUCAAUUGACUCCAACUGUAAAAUGCAGUGAGAGCAAACAGUGGUGGGAGCACAUGCUGGUAUCCGCAUCACUGCUUCCCUGCUCAACGCUGAUGCUGACAUGUGUCAGAAUGGCAGCUACCAUCUCCUCCCUGGCUAAUAGGAGAGUAUGUCCUAGGGUGCUUCUUCACCUGUAGUGCUAAUGGCAGUCCUGUUCAGAGAGGUUUCGUUUCAGAUCCUCCAGGAAGCUUUUUUCUCCUUCCGCUGUGUAACACUGUUUGGAUAACUGACCGGUUACUCACGUCAGAAGUCAGAAUCCCGGUGUGGCCGCGUAUGGUACAUUUUCAGGUGUUCUAUUUGCAAUGUCACAUGUAGAUGAAAUUCAGAAUAUGUGCCAUUUCAGUUCUCUGCAGACUUUUUCUGACCCAAAUCCAAGGUAAACUUUGAUCUUCUAUGAUUUAAUAUCAAAGUCAAGCAUAGCAAUAGGAGACUGAACAGGUGAAUAUCUAUGCCUUCCCCAUAAGGAACUACUAUCUGCUGUAUGUUUGAAUUCAAACAAUGAUAUGUAAUGAGCAGGAGAGUUCACAGGCUCAGCUUUGUAGAAUUUAGUCUUGUCCAGUGUGCAAAUUCCUUUGUGGUGAAUGUCAGCUAACCGUGACCUUACACAGAACGGUGCCACUCCUGUUGUAAAUCAAGUUAGGCGAUGAUUACACUUGAGCAACUUCCAAGACAAGCAGACCUAUAGACUGCAGAUCCUCAUCCAUGUGUGCUGGUUUUGCACUGUGUUGUUUGGAGGUAGGAUCCUAGGUGAGUGUUUGCUGUUACACAGAUGAAGCAAAUUAUUGGAA
rnacentral:lncRNA from 1 species